GGAAGGAAGGAAGAAAGAAAGAAAGAAAGAAAGAAAGAAAGAAAUGACGUCGAUUAGCCGGGUUGACAUAGGACAACUUUCUCUUGUGUAUCUAUGUCAAGAGCCCACUGCCAUGAGUGACUCAACAUAUCGUACUGUGCUCAUGAAAUAAUGACAAUUUCUUGAUUUUUGUUAUUAGUUCUCAAAUAAUGCUUCACAUCAUGAGAUCCGACUGAAACAUUGCACCGAGUGUGAUCAUGUACUUCAAUAUUUAUUAUUUACUAAGAGAAAAGGAUGAAAAAAAAGCGAAUAUCAUUGAUUAGCAUAGACCGAAUGGCUGAAAUUAACUACGAAUGCCAUUAACGUGGGGCCCAAAGACAAUAAAUUUGGAAAGUUUUACGCUCAAAAAUCAGGUCAGAUAAAGAUUUUUAAGCUCGUUCAUGUGUCAGGAGGAUUGACAUGUUGGUAUCCAAACACUGCGCAAACUAAUUUUGGCUGUGGCUUAUAUAAUAAUCCUUAUAUGUUAUGCAUGAUUAUUACAGAUGGCAGUAAUAUUGUGGUUUCCCCUCCCAAAACAUAUUAUUUGGGGCAUCCUUAUCAAUGCUACUACAUUUCAGGCGUGUCAAACAACAGUACGGAAUUGAUCCUUCCCGAAA
rnacentral:misc_RNA from 1 species